GUUAAACCCUAGAGCCUUAAAAUAGGGUAUAUGACUUCUUCCCCGAAGCCUCCCUCUCGGCUCUUCUCGUUGUUUGCAGACUUUUCCAGUUUUGACGCAUCAUAGAAACCAAAUCCCCCAAAAAUCCAGCUUCGUCUCCCAAAGAACCCUACCAUUCGAGCCUGCCAAUCUUCCUCUAUUAAAAAUCAGUUCAGUAAUGGAUGAUUCAAACGAUCAGAAAUACUACAAGUAUCACCCAUAUCAGGAUCUCUACAACGUCCCUGCUCACAACCUAUAUAAAUUGCCCUCUUCUCCUGAGUUCCUUUUUCAUGAAGAAGCUGCACAUCAGCGCCGCAGCUGGAGUGAAAACCUUCAAUACUAUACCGGAACGGGCUACUUAUCCGGAGCGAUUAUCGGUGGGGCUAAGGGUUCUUUGGAUGGCAUACGCUCCGCCGAGCCUGGUGACACCAUGAAAUUGCGGGUCAAUAGGAUUCUCAACUCAGGUGGACACGUGGGUCGGAAGUUUGGGAACAAUUUGGGUGUUUUGGGGCUGAUGUUUGCUGGCCUUGAGAGUGCUUUGAUUCACUAUAGAGAUACUGACGAUUUGGUCAAUACGGCUCUCGCGGGGCUCGGGACUGGGGCGAUUUAUCGUGCGGCUAGGGGGCCGAGAUCGGCGGCUAUAGCAGGAGCCAUUGGAGGGAUCGCGGCGGCUACUGCUGUUGCGGGAAAGCAGGUUGUUAAGAGAUACGUGCCCAUAUAAAAAAAUUUGAAAUUUUGAAAAUUUUUGUUUUGGGGGCUCUAUUUGGAGGGGCUGUGUUUAGGCAGAUAUGGGAUUAGCGGGUUUUCUUGGGUGGCAAAGUUAGAUUAUUUGAUUUAAAGGAUUCUGGUAUAAUAUGGAUCGUUACUUGUAACGAUUACUGUUGUUUCACAAUCCAAUUUGCCGACUUAGCAUUUCUUGAUGUCCUGUUUGAUAAUUGAUAGGAAUUUUGGGCUUUUCCAUUUUUUGAAUUGUUGGUUUACGAGAAGGCAUGAACAGUUUCAUGCGAUUAAAAAUUUAUGUAUUAUCGUGUUGUUAUAUUUUUGCAUUGAAUUUGGUAGAAAAUGGGAUUAUUGCCGGUGAUUAUUAUUCUUAUUGCAUAAUCUCAUGGUCUUUCCUGGCCAACAUGUUCCUGUUUGAUGGGAAUUUUGAUUUGUUGGUUGAACUUCUAUAAUUUUGUAUAUAUAUGGUGCCG
rnacentral:misc_RNA from 1 species